AGUCCGUCAGUCUAAGAGUAGAUCUCUCAGUGGAAACCCUGCAAGCCAGGAAAGAAUGGGAGCCAAUAUUCAACAUUUGUAAAGAAAAGAAUUUUCAACUCAGAAUUUCAUAUCAAGCCAAACUAAGCUUCAUAAGCAAAGGAGAAAUACAAUUAUUUACAGACAAACAAAUGCUGAGAGAUUUUGUCACCACCAGGCCUGCCCUACAAGAGCUCCCGAAGGAAGCACUAAACAAAGAAAGAAAAAGCCAGCAACCAGCAGUAACCUUUUAUCCUUGUGUUAUAUAAAUUCUUUUAAGAUUUAUUUUAUUGCUGAUUGACACAUAAUAAUUAUACAUAUUUAUUGGGUCUAAUAUGUGUAAUAAUUAGAGUAAUUCACAUACCCAUUACAUAUUUAUUUAACAUUUAUGAUCUCUUUGUGAUGAGAACAUUCAGAAGCCUCUCUUCUAUUUUGAAACAUGCAAUACAUUAUUGAUAAAUGUAUUCACUCUAUUGUGGAAUAAAAAGCCAGAAGUUAUUUCUCCUAUCUAACUGUAGAUUGUACCCCCCCGUUGACCAACCUCUCCUUAUCCCUGCUAUCCCGUAU